CCUCCAGUCCCCGGGACCGGUCUCACAGACCAGUGGACCCCCGCUGUCGCCCUGGCAACCACACCCCAGGCCUUGUCACACAUCAACAAGACCUGAUGGGUCGAACCAAUUCAGCUCAGAGCACGACAGUGCUUCAGUCAGCACAAAACAUCCGGGGAGUUAGGAGGCCUCCGUAGACAUGCCGUUGGGAGCACGUGGCUGGGGAUAUGAUCUGAACGCACGCCUGUUGGAGCUCGUCGGACAGCAGCCCUGGAAGAGAAAAACUACCCAUCAUUCAGCAGCCUGCAUUGGGAGGGAAGGACGCGCUGGGACUGGGCAGACAAACAGGCCGCACGCCCCCUGGUGGACAGCAGACGACACAAGGCAAACAAUGUAACGGUAGAUGAUAGAAAAAAUAAGUUAACUCAGAAAAGUAAUUAUAAUCAAUAACUGCUAUCAUAAAAAUGACAAUAAUGAUAAAAUAAUUAUAAUAAAUAAUUUUAUGAUGA